AGGUAAAUACUCUUAUACUUUUUCCUUAAAAGUGACAUGAAGUUUUCUAAGAAUGGAACCAUAAAGACAGAUUUCUUACGUGACAUGAUGUAGCUUUUUCCUGACGUACUGCAUGAAUAAGAAAUUUUGUCUGAAUUGAGCAGUGGCGUAAUAAAAAUUACUUUAUGUUGAGAUGGAAGCUUGAGCUCUACUUCAGCAAAUGCUAAAACAAAAUGUUGACAACCAAAACACCCAGCAGAGAAACAUUAUGCAUGAUGUGAUAAUUUCAUGUGAUGUGACAUAACAAAGUGCAAUUUCAAGAUCAAGAAAUUAGAACAAAGUGACAUCCCACAAAAUUUUAGGUUAAAAUUAACCACCAAUAACUUUUCUAGUUACUAAACACAAAGAAAGUCAGUUUCCAGAUUACUUAACUUAACACAGUAGUUCAUUUUGCUUAAUAGUGUAGUUCGUAUUUCAUGGUAUUUAAUGAUGCUUUCAUAUGUUCUUGUAAAUGAACAUUGAAUAGAAGCUGAAAUUUGAAAAAAAAUUCCCCUGGAGCCUGAAGAUAGAACUGUUUCAUGCUUUAAAAAAAUAUAUCAUUAAGACCUCCAAACAUUCUGCAUUCAGUAAAUAUAUUUUUACUGAAAUGGAGAAGAUAAAGGGAAAAGUAUCUGAUAUGUAUUUUAUCAAUUGCAAUGAAUGUGACAAAUGAAGCCAUAAUGGAUAGUGACCAAGUUGGCUCUCACACAGAAAUUUCUGAAUCAAGUUGGCCAUAAUACCAAAAAGCAAUUUUUUUAUUUUAAUGUUCAUUUUAAUGUGGUGAGGUGUUUAGAGCUACUCAAAGUAUGAGGCUUUAACUUGCUUGUAAUUAAAUCAGUGCUCAAUUUUAGGUGGAUUACAUCUUCAUUUUCUUGUUUUUUAUGCAAUAAAAUAUAAAGAAGUGACCUUCAAAA